rnacentral:misc_RNA from 1 species
UAAUUGAGUGUUUUAUGGCACUCUUUAAAAAAAUCCAUAUCCACCUUGUGUGCAAUGUUUUUGGACUCUCUGUACGUUGAUAUCCCUUUGGGUCCGAUAGGACUUUAGGGGAAGGAAAACCUUAAGAGGGUUUGAUUAACUUAACACCUUUAAAGCAGUUUGUCUGAAUAUCUAUUUCUGAAUAAACAUAAUUCAAAAAUA